rnacentral:rRNA from 1 species
GACGAACGCUGGCGGCGUGCUUAACACAUGCAAGUCGAACGAAGUGGCGAACGUGUGAGUAACGCGUAAUCAACCUGCCCUUCAUAGGGGGACAACAGUUGGAAACGACUGCUAAUACCGCAUACUGAAGGCGGGGAUUUCGUCUGAUUAGCUAGUUGGGGGGGUAACGGCCCACCAAGGCGAGGAUGAGUAGCCGGGGUGUGAGGAUGAACGGGUACAGUGGGAAUGAGACACGGCCCAAACUCCUACGGGAGGCAGCAGGGGGGAAUCUUGCGCAAUGGACGAAAGUCUGACGGAGCAACGCCGCGUGAGUGAUGACGGCCUUCGGGUUGUAAAGGUCUGUUAAGCGGGACGCGGUACCGGAAUAGAAAGCCACGGCUAACUACGUGCCAGCAGCCGCGGUAAUUC